CCUGCCUUGGCCUCCCAAAGUGCUGGGAUUACAGGCAUAAACUUUUGGUCUUCUGGCCACAUCCAACACUUGAUUACAAUUGUUCUUCUACUAUCUUGGCAGAUCUGGUGUCCCUGGAGAAGGCUAAAGGUGGGCCAUGUAGAGAUAUGGACUUCCAAUACCAAGGGUGGGUCUUCUGUUGAUCUUGUUUGCUCAGUAUCUGUUUUCCUUCCUUUUGUGGACAACAGCCUGUUUGUCUAGGGAAGGAUCAUCCCAAACUUCAUUUGUGCUGUAUAGGUUUUUCUUCCCCUUUUAAUCCAGAGGUGAGCAAAUGACCUUGGCUUGGUGCUCCCACAUCAUGGUUCCAUCCACCAACACAGAAACCAGUUCUGGGAUAAGCCUUUGACUCAAGCUGCUCCAGUGAGAAUGGACCAUGUGAUCACACAAUGGAAAGCAGAUUUAUAAGGAGAUACUAGAUUCUGGACAUCAUUUAGUUUUUGGAUUCCUUAAUUCCUGAAGUCAGUCUCACCCUGGGCUUUUUCCUAUGAGCCAAUAUAUUUCCCUUCUAUGCUGAAGGUAGUUUGAAUUGGGUUUCUGUUGCUUGCACCCAAAGGAUCCCUGGCUGGUGGAAUGCUUAAUAUGACUUCCUCUGGCAAGCACAGUGACCAAAGUCAAGUAUCACGACUACAGUGGGUGGAAACCGACUUAAGAUGCAGAAAAUUUAAAAACCAGGUCCGCUACUGCAGCUACCACCAUAGUGACCACUAUACCAUAUAUACAUAUUAUAAUAUAUAACAUCAUCACCACCAAGGUAGACGCCCCAUUUCUCUAGUCAAUCCCUGAGUAUCUUCAAGCAAUUCAUAUGACUUUUCUUUUGCAUUCCCCAGAAGAAAUUCUGAAGGGAAAGGAAUAAAGAAUUUUGCAUUGGCCAAGCAUUAGUUUGAAAUGCCUAAGCUCUUCUUUAUGGAAGUUUUUAAAUGCAGUCACUUUUGAUUUAGUUCAGAAUUAUAAUCAACUAGAGGCUACAGGCAUUUUAGCCUGCUGGAGUUUAUAUUGGGAGUUUUGCAAGACAGCAAUCUCUAUUUCUUAAACAUGUGCUUUAGUAAGACAAAAUACUAUUUCUCAGUAGAGCACACCC